rnacentral:rRNA from 1 species
AGUGAACGCUGGCGGUAGGCCUAACACAUGCAAGUCGAACGGCAGCACAGUAAGAGCUUGCUCUUACGGGUGGCGAGUGGCGGACGGGUGAGGAAUACAUCGGAAUCUACUUUUUCGUGGGGGAUAACGUAGGGAAACUUACGCUAAUACCGCAUACGACCUACGGGUGAAAGCAGGGGAUCUUCGGACCUUGCGCGAUAGAAUGAGCCGAUGUCGGAUUAGCUAGUUGGCGGGGUAACGGCCCACCAAGGCGACGAUCCGUAGCUGGUCUGAGAGGAUGAUCAGCCACACUGGAACUGAGACACGGUCCAGACUCCUACGGGAGGCAGCAGUGGGGAAUAUUGGACAAUGGGCGCAAGCCUGAUCCAGCCAUACCGCGUGAGUGAAGAAGGCCUUCGGGUUGUAAAGCCCUGUUGUUGGGAAAGAAAAGCAGCAGGUUAAUACCCCGCUGUUCUGACGGUACCCAAAGAAUAAGCACCGGCUAACUUCGUG